rnacentral:lncRNA from 1 species
UGCUCAACAUAUCAGCUAUCUGCUAAGAAAAGGGUAACAAAAUAUGAAUUUAUAACUCAGUAAGUAGAUAAAUUGAAAAUAAGUAUACUUAGUCAUAUAUGCAUAAUUCUUGCUCUAUUAAAAUUUUGAGAAAUUCAGAAAUCUAACAACACUUUUAAAACUGACAUAAUUGGAUCAUAAAAUUCUUUAUUCUUCAUUCUAGUUCAAUAACUGUAUAAUAUAACGAAUAUAAAUAAUCUGACAUCCAUGAAAAUCUGUGAAAUAUUGUUGUUGGUCAAUUUUAUAAACUAGAAGCUUUACUCUAAAAACUAAACAAAUUGAAUUCUAUAAUCUGAAUUCCACAAGUUGAACUAUAAAUGGGGAAAUGUAAGCUGAAGGCCAAUAAUCCAGUAUAUACAUAAAAUUUCUUUGAGCAGAGCGAACUAUUUUCUUUUACAUUCACAUUGAAAUUUACCACGUGUAAACAUCUACUGAUGAUUUGAAAACUAUAAAGUCAUAUGCACAUAAACCAUCUAAUCAACACUCUAUACACGGCCGUAGCCCCUCAUUGUACAAGAUGAAAACAACAUAAUCAUCCUUAUACACAGUUGUAGCCCCUCAAUAUAUAAUAGGUACCCUUACACACGACUGUAGCCCCCUCAGUGGAUAAGAGUUGCCCUUACACACGACUAUAGCCCCUCAGUGUAUGAGAUUAAAGUAAUUACAUCAGUUACUUUCUGAUAAUUUCAAAAUAAUCAUGUUCCUUUACUAAUUUCUCGAAAAUAAGACAUUUCACGUAAUUAAUAUGCUUCUAUAAAAUAAAAAGGAAAUCUUCUUUUUGGAAAAGUGAGUUCUCCACUUACAGAUCUAUAGAUUGCAAUCUGGUUAAAUUUACCAGUCUUGCCCAACUUUCAUGUCACCACCUGAAAUACGAUAUAAAAUAACUAAUUUAACAACUCUUAUACUAAGUAUCUCCUAAUAUUAGUAAUCGAAUACUAAAACUUAACUUCUCGAUACUAGAAUGAUUUUCCCCAAUUUCCUCUAAUCACUUCAAGCUAAUUCUACUUUCUAGUCCAUUUCUUAAUAGCUAAUUCAUCACAAUGAUCUUCACUUCAAACAUAAAAAUAAUUCAUUCUUACAAACUAGUAAAACUAAUAAUCAUAAUUUAACCAAUAUAAUUUUACACCUUAUUCCAUAAAAUCAUACUUUCAAGUAAACAUUUCAUCAUCACUAUAAUUUUCCCAAACUAUCUGUUUCACGCGGUUAGUCGCUAACAAUUAAAAAGGGAUCAGACGAUUGUGUAAGGGACAAACCUCUUGAGACAAAAUCCCAAAAAGUGGCGUUUUUAUUGGCGAUAACUUUACAAUUGGAAAAUAAAAACAGAAUGCCUUCAAACGGCGCAAGCACACGAGUUACUAUAAAAGAAGUGUUUAAAUCUAAACUAAGAAAUUGAAAGUUAUAUAUUCUCUGUUUGAGAGUGUUUGAUUCGGGGUCUUCUUGCUCUAUGUCUUUUCUUUCUUUUAUACUUCCUGGAUGAUCUCUUUGUGAUCAACCGCCUAAAAACUGUUUGAUCAUUCUAUAACUGCCAACUUUCCUCGUAAUGGCCAACUUGUCAUGGAACUGCCUUUUCUAACUGCUGCCAUUACUCUUUGUCGUUCAACCAUCUUCCAUUGAAUUCUUGAAUCGUGAAACGUGAUAGGGUUGCUUAAUAACUGCUUUGAUAACUGCGCUUCUUGAUAACCAUAACACUUCAUGUUUGCUAAGACCUUGGGUGACUCGAAAGUUUGGGCGAGAAUAGAGUAGCAGCUCUGGGCGACUGCAUGGCACUCCAUUCGCUCAGAUCCUGGGCGACUUGCAAGCUUGGGCGAUGGUGUUACCGCGUUCAUGGGCCUCCCUAUUUGGGCCUUCAUCCUGAAUUGUCUGAUUGGGCUUCAUUCUUUGGGCUAUCUGAUUUGGGGAUCCUCCAAUUGGGCUUCAUUUCUUGGGCCGUUCGCUUUGGGCUGAAUUUUUAUGUGUCAACAAUUACCCUCCAAUAUGGCAGAAUUAAUACCAAUUAUUAAAUUUUGCCAUAUUCACUUUGUGUUUUCAGCAACAUUCGAAAUUACCAAGAAUUUUAAUCAUUGUUUUCUUCCAUAGCUUGAAAAGGUGCGACGUUUUGCAAACCCUCCAAAUACGCCAUUUCACUGCACCAUUAAAUCCCGCCUCACUUUUUUCGCGCUUCUCUCUCACAAUUUUACUGUUCAUCUCUUUGCUUCCCUACUACGUAACUCUGAAAAACUCCAUUUCGUCCCUAAUGGCUACUUCACAAUCUCAAUUUGUCAACUCCUUUAGUUUUGAAGACUUUCAGAAACUCCUUAAUCGUCCAUACAUAACUCCGAACUUUCUCGCACCUGCCAAUGUCGAACUCAAUGAGUUCUACCUAGGUCCUUUCUUCAACAAUGCAGAGGCAGUCGAACAAGCGGCGGAGGGCCAGCCGUUUCCUUGUAUCAAGGCCCUCCAUUUCUAAGCUCUCUACCACUGGGGCCACUUCGCGAAAGAGGUAUUCGCACUUGGCCUAAAUCUGAUAUAGUUUUCCGUAGGUGGCGUGCUCGCCUUGUGGACCAUGGUCCUACUAAGGCACUUUUUGAUAAUGCUAGGAUUUCUGAUUUGUUAGAAAUCUCUCUUCAACCCCCUACUUUUGAUUCAGCACUUUUUUCGAUCGCUUUAAGUUUUUGAUCUUCUGAGUAUAAUACCUUUGUUUUCCCUCUUGACCCCAUGUCUAUUACUUUAAGGGAUGUUGGGGCCCUAGUGAAUCUGCCACCUUUGGGCGAUACCAUUUUUCCUGGUAUCUUGGUUUCUGGUGGCACCCCAAACUUUGGUAAAAACCUCACCGAGUCUUAUUCAAGCCUGCAAACCCUUCAUAACCACUCGAGCGCUGAGCCUUUCCAUACUGAGCGAGUGACCUUUCUUCUGGUUUGGCUUUGUAAAUAUGUUUUGUGUGUGCCAAGUAUAAAGCCCUCCCUGGGCUAUUUACCCAUAGCACACGAAUUGGAAUGUGGUAGGCCUCUGAAUUUAUGUUCUUUCUUUUUGGCUGCCCUCUAUAGAGGCAUGGCUUCUUUUCAAUAUCAAUUGAAGAAUGGUGCAUCUCCCACUGGCAGUGGACCUCUUUGGUUCACUCAAAUGUGGUUGAGAUCCUAUUUUCCAUCACUUGGUACUCCAUCAUUUUCUCGUCCUUCUGCUAACUGCUAUGGGCUAGCCAUUGAGCCCCUGGCUCCUGUAAAUAUGUUUAGAAUGGACUUUUUUUCAUUCUUUUAUUCUUUGGAUUCAAUUCCUUCCUUCUUUCCUUUUCCUCUCUUUUUGACUCCAGACUAUGUGCAUCCUCCCUCCACUAUAGACAGCGCGAUCACUUCUCUGCUCAUUUGGAUCCAAUUUUUAACCGGGAGGGAGUUAUUUCAUGAUAUUUUGGCUGGGACCAAUGCCAAGGCUGGGGUAGAAAUAUAUGCUCCCUAAUUUUUUGCUCGCCAACUUGGUUUCGGCCAAACCUGGCCUGUUCCUCCUUGCUAUUCAAGGAACUUGAUAGACCGCUUUCAUAUCAUUAAUAAGGCGGAGGCAGAGGUUAUAAAUGCUCGCAAUCUUCUUUUGACGAGCCAAUUUUCAUUAGCCCCUUUCAAUUCUAGUUGUGCCAUCCAUCCCCUUUUUGAACAACUCUGGUUGUCAGUGAAGCGCAGAUUGUUUGCGACUGAUGCCAAUCGUGCCUUUCGUUCACUGGACCAGCCAAGCAUUUCUUCCCCUCCUCCUGUUUUAGUCAUCCUUUUGUCCUUCCGAAGUCCUUCUCCUCCUCGUCGCGCUAAACAGUCUGCUCGUCCAUCUUCUUCUCUCCCUGCCAAGCCUACUGCAGCCAAAAGUGCCCCCGAGCCGCAAACGACCAGCCUCAGCAUCUCCCAUUCUGGUGGAUGAUGUUGAUGAUGAUGAUGAUACCCCUCUUAUCAUCAGGAGGAAGGUAAUUAAAUUGGUUUACUCACAAGCAUACUUUUCCAUACUUGAAACUUUUCUGUGUGCUGAUGGUUUAUUUAGACUUCUCAGAAAAGUUCAGCCUCUCCUUUGAAAGCCUUGGUGUCGGCACCUCCUGCUCCAUCAUCCUCCACUGAGGCUGCUUCAUCCAAACCAGCUGAUGAAGGGAUUACACUUAAAGAGACAUCUUCAGUCCCAGAAUCCUCAUCACAACCAAUGGAUGAGCCACCUUCUUCCCAGGGCGUUGACCCCCCAAACAUCGAAGUAGAAGGUAAUUCAAUUUUUUGAUGCUUUACCUUUGCUUAUGCUAUUGAUUUCUGAUUUGUUGCUUUUGAGCUCUGCAGAUGCUCCCAUGAGUCUGCCCGUUGUGGCAACAUCUUCUUGCUUAGACAAGGGGAAGUCCUCACGAAUGGUGGAGCCACAGGUGGCAGACUUGGCUGGGGAUAUGCCAUCUUCCAAAAUUAUUGAUGAGGUAAUCUUUGCUUUACUUUUACUUCCAUCUUGUUCGUUGUAGUGAGAAUCUUCAAUAUUGGCAAUUUUCUUUGCAGGAUGCUGAUAAGAUUGUGUGUUCCAUCCAAGACUUGUUCACUUCCUGGGGGCAAGUCAAGACAUCUCGCCCUGCUCCAGUUGGUCGUCCUGCUACUUCUUCAGAGGAAGAUAUGAAGUUCCUCAAGCAGUCGAUAUUUGGGUACUUGUCCUUCAUGGAUAUGGACAUUGGAAAGGCUAGUGCUGUCAGACAUAAGGAUAAGCUUGAGCAUUUGAAUGCGAAGUUGGAGCAAGCACUGACACUUCCGUCGCUCAAUCUUUCUGCUGAUUUUAAAGCGACGUUGAAAGUUAUCCAUUCCGAGGUCCUCUCCUUGCUGGCCAAGAAUGUUGAACUAAAAGCCAAAAGUACUCAAUAUCUUCGCGUCGUAUCUGAAAAAGAGUCUUUGCUUCUGGAGAUCAACAAAGCUGAGGACGAGUUGAAAGAAAUCUCUUCCGAAGUCAUGAUUGAAGACUCUUUGAUGGCUAGUUUGGCUGCUCAGAUGAAGGAAUUUCAACCCAAAAUGGACGAGUGCAAGGCGAGAAUGGCUGCUAAAAAGCGUAACGCCUCCCAAGAAAUUGAGCAAACUAAGUCUUUGAUCGAGCAGUACAAGAAGUUGGAAGUUGAUGAUGAUGUUGUGGCCGAAUUGAACAUCACUUCCUCUCGGCAGAACGAGGACUGGGGAAAACUUAGGGAAAGAAUUCGUUCGAUAUGGGGCAGAUUGUAAUUAAGACAUAUAAUGCCUUAACUUUUUCUUUUUGUAAUUUCGCAUUUGACUUUUCCUUUGUAACCUUGUACAUCAUUAAUGAACAUCUAUGUUAACUUCUUGUGCAUCUAUUUGACGUUUGUCUUUUAAUCGUCAAUCCUUCAAACAUUUAACUGCUUUGUACUAAAAAUCUUGCACAUUUUCUCUUGAUAUUUCCACCUCUUUUCCCAAGACUUUAGGCUACUUAAUUUCAUUUACUAGGCAGAAUGUGGCUGCUCAUAUUCUGUCUCUUCAUCUCCACACUCCUAUAAAUGCACGUAUGCUUCGCACUUUCCAUCUUCCAUCUUCAUUUUCAUUCUCUUCUUCGAAACUAAUUUGCUGCCAUUAUUUGGCAUUCUGACAAUCAAUUCAAAACCUUCGUCUUCUAUAAAAAUGGAUUGUUUGAUCCGCCCAUUUUACUACUUAUCUUGAUGUCACCUUUGGUAUGGGAGAUAUAGAAAAUAUUUUUUGGCCAGCAGUGAAGUUUUUCCCAUCAAAGUUUUUCCCAUCGUCUCUUUGUUCUUUACAAGGGGUUCGAUGAUGGAAGGCAAUUUUUGGGAUGCUUGUGGGCCACCUUGGUUGCUGAGAGUGCUUCUCAGCCUCUUUGCCCGCCUUGCAGCGAUGCAUUUAGGAAGGCGGUGCGAGGUCAGUCCAUCCUCUUACUCAGCGAUCGACCGGGAGAUUAGCUUACUUUUAAUUGUAGCUUGUAGAGCAUCUAUUAUUUGCAUCUUACAACUUUGUAAUGAACGUUUGAUAAUAAAUGAAUUUAUUUGAACGUAUUUCGCUCUGACCUUUUUAUCCUUAAUCGUUCAACAUGUUUUGAUUACGCUUUUAUCUGUUCACUUUCCCAUAAAGAAGGAACAUAUUUUUUCAAAUAUUUGCCGUUGAUGAAUCUCACGUGCUUAGUGCCAUCUAAAUCUUCCAAAUGAUAUGCUCCAUUGGGCAACACACUGCUUACUUUGUAUGGUCCUUCCUAAUUGGGCAAUCACUUCCCGUACUUUGGAUUCUUACUAUCCAAAGGGAGUAUUGUCUUCCAAACUAAUUUGUCUAGGCUGAACGACUUGGCUAUGACUUUUUUAUUAUAAAACUUAGCCAUUCUUUGUUUUUAAACUUGCAAUCUAUCUAGGACGUCCAACUUUAAUUUGUCCAACCCCAAUAAAUUUUGAACUAGUGAUUCGGUAUACUCAUCAUCAUUUAACUUAUGUUGCAAGCAUACUCUAAUCGAUUGCACGUUGAUUUCCAUAGGCAAAACGACCUCCUGUCCAUAAGUAAGUUGGAAAUGAGUAAUUUUGGUACUUGACCGAGGUGAUGUUCUAUAAGCCCAUAAGGCCUUAUCCAGACAUUCGUGCCAAUUUUUGACAUUUUCAUCUAUCAUCUUUUUGAUGAUAUUUUUUAAAAUCUUAUUAGAAGAUUCUACUUGUCUGUUGGAUUGAGCGUAAUAUGGUGUGGAGUUUACUAAUUUAACCCCAAACUCGCUCAAAAAUUUGUUCACUUGAUCACCAUUCAAAGAUGUUCUGUGAUCUACCAUCAAUGUUUGUGAAAUUUCAAACCUAUAAAUGAUGUGAUCACGGAUAAACUCUAUGACAUUCUUUUGGGUGAUCUCUUUCAAAGGUAUCGCCUCUACCCACUUGGUGAAAUAGUCGGUUGCAACUAUAACAAAAGUAUGUUGCUUGGACGAUAGGGGAUAAAUCUUCCCUAUCAGGUCUAUCGCCCAACCCUUGAACAACCAAGGUUUAAUAAUAGGUGUCAUCUUUCGUGCUGGCGCCCUUUGUAUUGGACCAUGCUUUUGACAUGCUAAACAACUCUUUGCAUACUGAACGCAUAAUUCUACCAUCUUUGGCCAAAAAUAUCCACUCCUAAUAAUUAACCAUCUCAUCCUUUGGCCAGCUUGAUGAGCUCCAUAUAUCCCUUUGUGCACCUCAGCCAUGAUCGUCCUGGUUUCUUGCAAACUUACACACUUUAGCAAUACACCAUCAGAGCGUUUCUUAAACAACUCUUCAUCUAUUAGUGUAUAGUUCAGCAAAAACAGCUUCAUUUUCCUACUAAUCCCUCUAUUAGGUUCUUUAAGGAACCUUUUAAUCUUUGUUUUCCAAUCCAUUGCAUCUCCAUCUUAUAUGUAGUGAAGUUCAAUCAUUCUCGCCCUUCUUUGGUUCACAGGUAAUAUGGUUCCAUACUCACAAGUAGACUUCCAAUUCAAAACCUUUGAGUACCCUGAGGCCAUUUGGGCCAACUCAUUUGCCACGUCGUUAUAUAUCCUAUUAACGCAUUGAAGUUCUACUUGGUCGAAUUCUUCUAACAAUUCUUGGGCGAUCUCAUAUUGACUUAUAAUGGAAUCACUUUGGCAUUUAAAAUCACCAAUCAAUUGGUGAAUUACCAAUUAAGAAUCGCCCCUAACGAUCACAUUUUUUAUUCCCAUAUCUAUCAUUAGUUCUAGGCCUACGAUUAAGGCUUCAUAUUCGGCCUAAUUGUUGGUGCACAUCCUGUCUAAAGUGAACGCGAACUUGUAGCAAAUCCCUAAAGGAUUAAUCAAUGUUACUCAUACUCCUGCACCUUUAGAGGUUUUUGACCCAUCGAAAUACAAUACCCAAGGUUUUAGCUCUAACGAAUUGAUUUCUAAUUCAAUUUCUUCAGGCAUGUCAAGGCAUGGAUAAUCGGCUAGAAAUUUAGCCAAAGCCUAAUUUUUGACUGCCUUUUGAGGUAUAUAUUGUAUCUCGAAUUCUGAUAAAGCUAAUGUCCAAAGGCCUACCCUUUUGUGUAAAAUAGGGCGAGAAAACAUAUACUUAACUAAAUUUACUUUAGAAAUUAAAUAAACGGUUACGGGUCAUAAAUAAAUCCUUAAUUUUGUACAUGUGAAAUACAGUGCAAGACAUAAUUUUUCGAUAGUAGAGUAAUUACAUUCACAUUUUGUUAACCGCCUACUUAAGUAGUAAAUUGCCCUUUCUUCACCAAAUUGGUUUUCCUGCGCGACCAUUCCAGCUAUUGAUUCUUUUUCAGCCGAUACGUACACGUUCAUUGGCCGUCCUUGGAUUGGUGACACCAACACUGAUGGACUUGAUAAAUAUGUCUUCAGGCUUUCAAAAGUCUUUUGAUGUUUUUCUUUCCAGACGAAUUCGUCCUAAUUUUUCAGCUUUAAGAGCAACGAAAAGACUUUAGUUCGCCCUGGACAGUUAGAAAUAAAGCGUCUUAAAAAAUUUACUUGGCCUAGAAACCUUUGCAAUUCUUUUUUGUUGCUAGGUGGUUUGACCUCUAAAAUGGCCUUCGCUUUAUUUUUAUCAAGUUCAAUCCCUCUUUUGUGUACCAAGAAAUCAAGAAAGUUCCCUACAUUAACACCAAAUGCACAUUUUAAGGGAUUCAACUUUAGCUUAUAUUACUUCAUUCGCUCAAAUGAACAUCUUAACUGUUCGAAAUGGUCCUCUUCUUUAACAGAUUUGACCACUAUAUCAUCUACAUACACUUCAACAAACUUGCCUAUCAUAUCAUGAAAGAUUAAAUUCAUUGUCCUUUGAUAAGUUGUUCCUGCAUUUUUUAGGCCGAAAGGCAUGACCACCUAUUCAAAACAUCCUAGAGACCCAGGGCAUCUAAAGGCAGUUUUGUGUAUGUCUUCUUCAGCUAUAUAAAUUUGAUUGUAUCCUGAAUACCUAUCCAUGAAAGAAUACAUGAUGUGUCCGGCAGUUGAGUCUACUAAAGAAUCCACCGUAGGUAUUGGAUACUCAUCUUUGGGUGUAGCUAUGUUUAAAUUCCUAAAGUCUAUGCACACCCUUAGUUUACCAUUCUUUUUUAGUACUGGCAUGAUAUUGGACAACCAUUCGACAUACCUGACUGUUCUAAUAAAGCCUGCUUUUAAUAAUCGCUCUAUCUCUUUCUUAAUCUCAGGGAGUACAUUAGGAGCAAAACGUCUAGGAGGCUGCCUAUGAGGUUUAAAAUUAGGCUUAGUUGGUAACCUAUGUUCCACCAAGUCUCUAUCUAAACCAGGUAUUUGUUCAUAUUCCCAAGCGAAACAAUCUUUAUACUCCUUUAGCAAAGCGAUUAAUUUAUCACUAACCUCUUGAUCGAGCAUCUAGCUGAUGAAUGUUGGACGAUCUUCUCCUUCAUUGCCAAUAUUUACUUUGAUUAGAGGGUCUUGUGUUUGAGCGUAUCCAGGUUUGAUGAUCCGCAUCACUUCGUCGUCCAGUUCCCUUGUAAGUACUUUUUCUUCUAAACAGUCCACCUUGUUGACUUCUCGGCCAAUGCUUUGUUCUAACUCGAAUACUGCCAUUUGUCUUUCAGCGCUCUUAGGGCUGUCUCUUCUUUCGUUUUGUCCUUGCAUUCUUUAUUGAAAGCCAUUAAUCUGGCUUUGAAAGCCUGAAUAUCGGCCAUUUGCUUUUGUGGCUUAGAAUCCGUUCAAGACUCCUUGAUUAUUCUUUUGCCAAUUACUGGCUGUUCUAAGACCACUUUUUUUGGUCUCAUUUGGCUGAACAUUUCAAUGAGUGCGUCCACUGAAAAUGGCUCUUCACUCUGUGCGACGAUCUGAGUUUCUUCCCCAUCUUGGACUACCCUGACAGGUUCAUAGUUUCCUUCGUACAUGAACAUUUCCACUGAGUUUGCUUCUGCGACAAAAGGCCUAUGAUCGGCCUGCACCACCUUUGCUUCACCCUUGUUGUUCCAAAAGACCAGGCAUUGAUGGAGUGAUGAGGGUAUGGAGCGAUUUCCGUGUAUCCAAUCUCUUCCUAGUAACACAUUGUAACAAGUAGGACCAUCUAUUACAAAGAAAACUGUGGUCCUAGUAGUUGUCCCAAUAGUUAUGUCCAAUGGCAUAACUCCCUUAACUGAAGUUACUCCUCCAUUGAAACUCGUAAGGAUGACUUCUGUUGGAAUGAUGUCACCCUCUGUCUUUGCAAAUUUCCUCAUCAUCCUAGAUGGAAUGAUGUUUAUAGCUGCUCCAUUGUCGACAAGCACUUUUGCCACAGGGAUGUCGUUAACUAGAGCUUUAACGUGGCCUCAAGUGUUUAGUCAAUUUCAUGGCUGGCCGUUUAAAAAUAACCUUGUCGGCAACCUCUAUUUCUACUUUCUGCUUGUUUUCUGUCGAAUUAUCCCUCUGUGAUAAGUCGACGUGCAGCAUAUCGCGCUGAGCCUCUAUCUCCUGAAUUUCCUCCUUACUGUUUUUUAAUGCUUCUUCAUCAGUUACCCAACCUGUGGGAGGGGGCAUUAUUCUUGGAGGUAACCCAUACUUUUCAGAGCGGGACACUUUCUUCUUCCUUUUGGGCAUCCCAUAUAGUACUUAGAAAUCGAAAGAACGCCCAAAUGGUUCUCCCAAUAAGUCUACUUCGCGAACUCCCUCUCGAUAUAGUUGCUUCAACAGAGUAUUGUGCGAUACUCCUCUCCUUCUUUCUGCUUCUAGGUCGAUUUCUUCUUCGAUGUCUGUCAUCCCGUCGUCUUCUUCAUCAUUGUAGGCCUCUCUAGAAGUCUGACCUUCUUCACAUUCCAGCACACAAGCCUCUCCUUCGUUGUCAUCCCUUUCUUCUUCUCCUUUUUCUUUAUUCUUGAAUUCAUUGGCCAGUAAGUAAUUAUUAGCCACAACAGGAGGUAACGUACCGAACUGGAUAGUAAGGGGCUGAUCUGGAUCUUCUCCAUCCCUUCUGUCUCGCUCAAACUUUGAUCUCCCAGAAGAAAUUUCUGACAACUCUUUCAUUGAUUUGUUUGUACCAUUUUCUUCACUGUCCUUGAGAACAUUUUGGUUGGCUACUUUGAGUAGUUUAGGCGCUUUAGGAUGUGGCACUCUCUGUUGCUACCUCAUCAUUCGUCCAUAGUUUCGUUGGAAACGCCUUUGUUGGGUUCUAGUCAUCUCGUCGAAGGGUAUUGCCCUUCCUGCAUUAUACUGGAACGAAUGUCAUACAUUUGGUCGGCAAGGUUGCAGCCUGAAUGUUCUCCCAUUAUCUACUGGCCUGAACUGCCUCUCAAAAGGUAGUCCCUUGUAGAACGAUGUACCUCGCCCUCUACCAGGCUGAGCGUUUGGGAGGAGAGUAGGGCGAUGGGGAUGCUACCAUGUCCCUAGUUUCUCCGUAUUCCCACUCACUUCUCUUUUACAUCUUGCACACAAGAUGUCUUCAUCCUUCUUUGGCUCCUUCCCUUUAAUACGCUCAAAGACACUAGGAUGUGGUUUAGGGUCUUCUUCUCCAUCAUCUAUAACCAAUUUGAAUUUUGGCAACUUGUUUUUGAAACCAGACGUCACCAUAUUCACUCCAAGUGGCUGUGGAAAAGGAUUUUCAUCCACUGCCAUCUUCUUCUUAUCAUCGAACGUAAUUCGUCCUGAUUCAAUGGCAUCCUGCAACACAUGGUGAAAAACCAAGCAAUUGUUAGUCAAAUGUGACCAUGUAUUAUGCCACUUGCAAUAUUUUUUACCCUUAAUUUGUUCAGGGUUUGGCAAUUUAUGCUUAUCGCUCGACUUUAUUUGCUUAUCCUUUACAACUUAUCAAAUAUAAGGUCAGCUUUGGUUACAUCGAACGAGAACGUUCUAACUUUUAUGUUUUCAUCUUUCAUAGGCUCAUCUUUGCCCGAUGGUCUAGGCUUAGCUAUUAUGGGACAAGUAUACGUGUCUCCUUUGACUAAUUCGAUCAAACACAUUUCGGUCUGAUCGUAUGACUCGUCAUUGAUGGUAUGAACAUCAAAAUUUGGGUCUCUAUAAUAAGUCUCCUUGCUAGAAUUUUUCAUCCGCUCUUCUUCUCUUAUCAAUCGUUCAUACCUAAUCACGUUUGCACUUAAUUGAAAAAGGUCAGGAAAUUCCUUGUCUUGGAAUUUCUUUUUUAAAUCAAAACUCAAACAACCUUAAGCAAUUUUGGCAAACUCUUUUUCGGGCAGAGGUACAAAACAUUUACUUUUUAUUGUCUUGAACCUUUGGAGAAAACCUUCUGCCCAUUCGUUUGGCAUUUGACGUAGGUUCGCCAAAUCGGCUAAGGUAACUUCAGACUUAGUCUUAUAAAACUGAGCGUGGAACAAUUGUUCUAAUUGUUACCAUGUUUGAACAGAAUUCGCUGGUAAAUUUAUGAACCAGGAGAAAGCCACUCCUGUUAAUGAACUAGGGAAAAGUCUCAUUUUGUGAUAAUCAGUUACGUCACCACUUUGCAGUGUGAAUCGUCUUAUGUGUUCUAGAGUGGACACCUCCCCUAAACCGGUAAACAGUGAGAAUUCUAGCACUUUAUACCCUCUAAGCCAUGGAUAUGCUUGGUCUACCCAAUCAGGAUAUGACUUUGUGUAAGUCGGUCUAAUGAUAGGACGUACCUCAAAAGCCAUCUGGUCCUGUAUGAUUUCCAUAAUCUGAUUCCUCAACAUGACGUUGGGGUCAUAUGGAAUCCUUACAGGUUGGUUAAUCGGUUGAUUUGCUUGAGGUCUGAUAUUUGGUCCUUGAUUAGGAAUAAAGUUACCAUGAUUUGGACUAUUGUUAUCAUUAACACGUGGGGUAUUCUGCUCGUUAUUUAGGACAUUAUUUCUUACACUUGGAUUACCCCCCAAGUUAGGCGUACUACUACCAUUAUUCUGAUUUAGCAUUACACCAUCCCCUUGGUUUGAAGUAGAGGGACCGAAAUGUGGUUCUAUCCCUUGACUUGGAUUUAGGACUGGGGGAUUAUGUCCCACAACUACCCUAGUUUGAAAGUGGUUUGCAAGAGGCAUAACUAGUUGACAAAUUUGGCCUACUAACUUAUUCAUUAUUUCAUUCAAAGUAUUUAGUUGUUUGGCUAUGUUGUCAUAAUGUGCAUUCCCAUUCUGAGUAAAUUUUUCCAUAUUAUGAAUAUUUCGAAAAUUUACCUGUUCAAAAACAUCUUGUGUGAGUUCUCCAAGUAGUGCACGCAUAGUUUGAGAACUCAACUCUGCCAUUGAUUCGUAACGACUAUUACUGCUCUGAUUCUGUCCAUCUGUUCAUGAACAGCUAUGCUGCUCCUCAUAUCACUUGAUCACAGAUUGGACUUCUCCCUGACUUGCUGGUUCCUUGUUGGAUUUUUGAGGCAUAUUGUUUCACAUUUUGUAUUUUCAACACCAAACACCACUGUCCCACUGGGCGUGCCAAAUCGUUUCGCGCGGGUUAGUCGCUAACAAUUAAAAAGGGAUCAGACGAUUGUGUAAGGGACAAACCUCUUGAGACAAAAUCCCAAAAAGGGGGCGUUUUUAUUGGCGAUGACUUUACAAUUGGAAAAUAAAAACAGAAUGUCUCCAAAGGGCGCAAGCACACGAGUUAUUGUAAAAGAAAUGUUUAAAUCUAAACUAAAAAAUUGAAAGUUACAUAUUCUCUGUUUGAGAGUGUUUGAUUCGGGGUCUUCUUGCUCUGUGUCUUUUCUUCCUUUUAUACUCCUUGGAUGAUCUCUUUGUGAUCAACCGCCUAAAAACUAUUUGAUCGUUCUAUAACUGCUCACUUUCCUCGUAAUGGCCAACUUGUCAUGGAACUGCCUUUUCUAACUGCUGCCAUUACUCUUUGUCGUUCAACCGUUUUCAAUUGAAUUCCUUGAAUCGUGGAACGUGAUAAGGCUGCUUAAUAACUGCUUUGAUAACUGCGCUUCUUGAUAACCAUAACACUUCAUGUUUGCUAAGAUUUUGGGCGAUUCGAAAGUUUGGGUGAGAAUAGAGUAGCAACUCUGGGCGACUGCAUGGCACUCCAAUCGCUCAGAUCCUGAGCGACUUGCAAGUUUGGGCGAUGGUGUUACCGCGUUUAUGGAUCUCCCUAUUUGGACCUUCAUCCUAAAUUGUCUGAUUGGGUUUUGUUCUUUGGGCUAUCUAAUUUGGGGAUCCUCCAAUUGGGUUUCAUUCAUUGGGCCGUUCGAUUUGGGAUGAAUUUUUAUGUGUCAACACUAUCUUUACUCAAGAAUCUAUUUAAAAAUUCUAGGGUUUACCAAAAAUGUAAUAACUUACCUUGAUACCAAAAUCUUUCACAAAUCAAAAAAAUCGGCUUGAAACCAUUCUCUUUCUUUAAAUCUGAAAUUAAACCAACCAUUUAGAAACCUAGAAAAUUUAAUAUACAUUAUAUUACAAAACAUUUACAUCUUUACCUCUUUAAGAAAUGAAGAAAUUGAACAAUGGAACUCAAGUUUUUCUUCCCUCUUUUUUCCUUUUCCUUUCUUCCUUUUCUUCUUU